GAUGAACGCUGGCGGCGUGACUAAUACAUGCAAGUCGAGCGAAGCGGGGACGGGUGAGUAACACGUGGAUAACCUCCUAUAAGACUGGGAUAACUUCGGGAAACCGGAGCUAAAACGGAAACUUAUCGAUGGAUCAGCGCUUCAUUAGAUAGUUGGUAAGGUAACGGCUUACCAAGGAAACGAUGCAUAGCCGACCUGACAGGUUGAGCGGCCAAACUGGACCUGAGACGCGGUCCAGACUCCUACGGGAGGCAGCAGUAGGGAAUCUUCCGCAAUGGACGAAAGUCUGCCGGAGCAACGCCGCGUGAGUGAUGACGGCCUUCGGGUUGUAAAGCUCUGUUAAUCGGGACGCGGUACCGGAAUAGAAAGCCACGGCUAACUACGUGCCAGCCGCCGCGGUAAUUC
rnacentral:rRNA from 1 species